rnacentral:rRNA from 1 species
GUGGCGAACGGGUGAGUAACACUUGGGCAAUCUGCCCUGCACUCUGGGACAAGCCCUGGAAACGGGGUCUAAUACCGGAUACUGACCACCUUGGGCAUCCAAGGUGUUCGAAAGCUCCGGCGGUGCAGGAUGAGCCCGCGGCCUAUCAGCUUGUUGGUGAGGUAAUGGCUCACCAAGGCGACGACGGGUAGCCGGCCUGAGAGGGCGACCGGCCACACUGGGACUGAGACACGGCCCAGACUCCUACGGGAGGCAGCAGUGGGGAAUAUUGCACAAUGGGCGAAAGCCUGAUGCAGCGACGCCGCGUGAGGGAUGACGGCCUUCGGGUUGUAAACCUCUUUCAGCAGGGAAGAAGCGAAAGUGACGGUACCUGCAGAAGAAGCGCCGGCUAACUACGUGCCAGCAGCCGCGGUAAUACGUAGGGCGCGAGCGUUGUCCGGAAUUAUUGGGCGUAAAGAGCUCGUAGGCGGCUUGUCACGUCGGUUGUGAAAGCCCGGGGCUUAACCCCGGGUCUGCAGUCGAUACGGGCAGGCUAGAGUUCGGUAGGGGAGAUCGGAAUUCCUGGUGUAGCGGUGAAAUGCGCAGAUAUCAGGAGGAACACCGGUGGCGAA